UACGUAGGGUGCGAGCGUUAAUCGGAAUUAUUGGGCGUAAAGAGCUCGUAGGCGGUCUGUCGCGUCUGCUGUGAAAACUCAGGGCUUAACCCUGAGCUUGCAGUGGGGUACGGGCAGACUAGAGUGCGGUAGGGGGAGACUGGAAUUCCUGGUGUAGCGGUGAAAUGCGCAGAUAUCAGGAGGAACACCGGUGGCGAAGGCGGGUCUCUGGGGCAGUAACUGACGCUGGAGGAGCGAAAAGCGUGGGGGAGCGAAACAGG
rnacentral:rRNA from 1 species